ACACCGUACCUAGUGAGCCAUUAGGUUGGGAGUCUCCUUAAUGGGGAAAGGGAGGAUUCUCAACUGGGAUUUUGUGGUCUUGGGAAGGAUAACCUGGUGUGCCCAUUUAUGGGAAGGCCCAAGAAUGGUUGACUUCUAAAGCUAUUUUGUUUCAGGAUUAAAAGUCUGCUUUCUCCUAUAAUGAGUAUUUAACAGACAAGACUUGUGUUUGUGGAUAAAUGCCAGGAAAUCUUCUCAAGCAACACUAACAAAUUAUGCCAUUUGGCAAUAUUAGUGUAUGGGCAGUAACCUUUUCUCGAGAAUUUUUAGCAGAUAGAUUUAGUGUCAAAAAACCCCAUAAUAGGCUGUAAUACCUUCUCCAGUCUAUCAGGUUUGUUACCAACUUUUUAAUGUAUGCCUUCUACUCAUUGAAUUGAAAGACCUUAUUGAUCUCUUUGCAGCUGAACUGAUUAUUGGGGUAAGAGAGAGACUUCCUGAAAGAAGCCAAGAGAAAUUAUUCAUUUAACAUAUUCUUAUUUUAGUAAACUUCCAUUUAACCUCCAGGGUUAAUGAAAAAAAAAAUUGCUGGUUGGCUGGCAUGAAUUUAUUAAAUCAGACAGAAACUGAGUUCAGGCUAGUACAUUUAAUGUCAACGUUUGUAAUAAUCUUCGGGGAAAAAAAUCCACACAGAUUUAUUAGUAUUGCAGAACUGCUUUAUUUUAAAACAACAGCCGUAACAGCAAAGGAACCCAGCAAGAAAAGUAACCCCCAAAAUGGAGACACAUUCUGUACCUUUGGAUAGUUCAGAAAUACUUAAAUAAGGUAUUGGGGACUUCGUAGGUCUGUGGUUAUUGGCUGAAAUCCUUUUGUCAUCAGGAGGCAUUAGCUGGCUGGUGUCUGUAGCUUCUUUGAGUUGGUAUUGGGGGAUUUGGUCUGCUGUCCAGAGGUGCCAUGGUUCUUCCCCAUGUCUGCAGAGUGAAUGUUGCACAUCAGAGCUGGCAUCUUUGUUAGUCUGAACAGAGAGCGAGGAUUAAAUAGGCCUAACAGCUGAGGGGAUUUUCAAAGGCAUGAGUGGUAUUUACACAUGUAUCUUCUGCUGGUUUCUGUUGGUUUUCCAGACUUGCUUUCAGAUUCCUGGUUUGAUGUGGGUCUGUCAUCCCACUGCUCUACUUGACCCUGUUACGGACAAGCUACUUACGGGUGUUUGAUGGAGAUUUGUGGAAAUUUUCAGAGAUACAAAUGUCAACACUGAAGUUACAUCGAUGAGAUGGAGAAGCCCAUUCUCGAUAGGAAGGAGUUAAUAGAGAACCAUCCUGGAGAAGGUUCUGUCUUGUCAUUUGUUGUGUGACAAGCUUGGAGGUGAGACUGGGUGGCAUAAAAAAGGUGCAGUCUGACAUUUUGAAGCUGGGCUCCUCUGAUCCUGAUUUGACUUUGUAUGUGAAGCAAAGGGGAGUGGGGCUGGAACAUCCUAUAAAGCAGCAGUUCAGGAGAGGAGAAGCCUUUGUUGGAAGGACUAUGAAAAAACAAAUGAGUACUAAAAUACCGAAGUGCAGCUUGUUCUGUGCAGAAUAAGUUAAACUAUGUUUCAGAGAACACAAGGAGGAGUGUAAAAAGUCCAGUACUGGAUUUAGAUAGAAAGUGCUGACACUAUUAGCUGGGUGGUAUUUGUGCAGGAUUUUUAUUGGAAGCCAACAUCAUAAAGCUGUCCAUUCUGUCAGCCAGUUUCAGGGCAAACUUUUUCUCCUCCCUCCUGCCAUCAAAUUGAGGUGACAGGUUUCUAAAUGGUUUUCUUCUGAAAUGUGACAAAAAGUAUAUUUUUGUCAACUGAUCUUGCUUUGUGUCUUAUGUGAUAUUUUGUCCCUCCUGGCCUGGAAUAUCUUCUGUAGUUAGAGGCUUUUGAGACAUAUUCCCUCCCUCAGAAUAUGGGGAGAAAUUCUACCUGGAGUUUUGUUCCUGUGGAAGAGCAAAUCCAGUCUUUUACCAACUACUGCAGUUUAACUGAAGCAGCAGGAACUAGCAAGGAAUGCUUGUAAUAUGGGACAUAUCAUGUAUAGUAAAAUGUCAUUUUCAAGUGCUUUCUGAGCUAUCCGUCCUAGUAAUGAAGCAGCUCUGAAACAUCACAUGACUUUCUCACAGUGUGUUGCACUCAGGAUAACCUCACCUUUGAUCAUGAUGUCACUUCAGAUGAAAGACUUGCAUGGAGAGUGGUACGUUGUGCAUUAGGAUCGGCAGAUAUCCUCUGGGAUCUGAACAGUGAAGGACUAUUUGAGAUGUGCACUCUAUGCUUGUCAAAGAGAAGUAAGUGCUGCGAUAAAAAUAGAAUAUUCAAACUCCCCUCAGCCUGGGGAGAAGGAGGACUUCACCUUUAUGCAAGAAGACCUGCUUAAUCUGAAAGUUCUCCUAGAAAGGGUUUUAACGGCAGCCGUCCAUUUCUGUGCAGGAACAGACAUAUGUUAAAGGCUGUCAUGCUGCUGCAGAAGCAAACCAGUGAGCUCAUGGGCUGCCUCUGCCAGUGGUUAAGGUCAGCUACUGGAAAAAAUUACAAGACAGCUAUUACAGCCAGGUAUGAUCCUGAAGAAGGGCCUUCAUGGAGAACUGUUACUCUUUGCUCAAUUUUGUUCAAGUCAGUGAGACUCUGACCUGGAAAAAUUGCUUCUGAUUCUCAAAACAAGGACAGCAAGGUGUGUGCAGGUCGGUUUGGGGAUUGUGAUUUUUUUUUUUUUUUGGCCAUUCAAGUUUUUCAGUCAUAAACUGCCUUUUUUGUUGACAAAUGGGGAUCAUUCCUGAAAAUGGUCAGGACAGCUUGUCCAUGUGGUAGAUUUUCUUCUCCUUCCCUACCCUUUAAAGCAUUACAGGAGCUUGAGCAACAAUCUUCCUGGCUGACAUGAAGGGCAGUCUGAUACAGAGGACACAGUGUCACCAUUGCAGCCCAAGGAAUUCUCAACCCUUACCUAAACAUUGUGACACUCUGGCCUCUCCACUCUGGUCAGCAGCCUUCACUUGGACACAGACUUGGAUCUAGUUACAAUUUUAACGAGCGGAGCUCAGAAAAGUUAUUAGUGACUGUAGGAAAAAAGCAAGUGAGCAGGCCAUAAAUCAGGCCAUGGGAUGAAUUCAGAAUGCACUAAUAAAAUCAGAGCUUCCAAUAAAUUUCAUUUCAGGCAGAGUAGCAACAGUUUCUCAGUCGAGAGUUCAGCACAGAUUAUAAUUUCAGAUGUGUGUCUGGCCAACUCAAUAUGCCUACAAAAAUGUUUGCAAGCAGGCAGCAAUGGCUGGUCUAGAGUCAGGCCCUCACACCAGCUGAACUUUAGUAGGAUUGAAUAAAAAGGAGGCUGAAAGUCACCUCCAGACCCUCACUGCUCCCCAAGAACACCCAUGUCAGCGUGUGGCUGCAAGGGAAACGAAGGACUGGUGAGUGUCACCUCCACCUCCACAGUUUCUGUACGGCUGAUGAGCGGCUGGAUGGCUCCGUGCCUUCCUCACUGGACUACUGAAGCCAAUAAUGAACAUAAAUACUUACAUAACAUAAAAAAAAAACAACUUGCAGGGUAAGUCAUUAGAGAAUGUUAAAAUUUAGAAACUUUUAGCUUAGACUAAGAAGUUGAAUAUUUGAUUAAUUUUUUUAUUUGUGUAUUAACAAGCUCCCUUUGGUUUUUUUUGAGAUUUUAAAGCAACCACAGACAUCUUGCAGCUAAGACAAUGUUAGUUUUUAAUGAAAGUAAUUCUGUUGCUAUCCCAAGAGAUGUUAGAAUGAAAGAGCAAGAGGGAAGGAACAGAUUCGCUUUUUGUUAGAGGCAAGGCCUUUGAACAUUGUUAAUGUUCAGGGUUACAGGUUUUAAUGGCACUGUGCAGAAGAAGAAGGAAAACAUGAGUAAAGUUCAUUAAUAGCUACGACACAAAAUGUGAUUCAGAACCAAGAGCAAAUGAUAAUAAAAACUUAAAGCAAAACGGAAAAUAGCUGCAACAAAUAAAAAUGACAAAUGCACUGCCAUAAUGGCUGAUAGGAAACCUGAUAUGUUUUGGUGAAUGGUAAUAAAACACAAAUGGUUUUUGGCUGGUGAGAUUUUUCAGUAAAUACAGAAUUGUGCAAACAUGUCUGUCACCUCACUGUACUGUGCACUGAUGGAGAAUUGUGUUAAGUUUUGGUUAUUGGAUUGGAAGCUUCUCGAUUCUGUGGUUGACUGCAAUAGUCCUACUCAAUUAAAGUCUCUGUUGCCAUAACAGCCUAAUCAAAGGUUCACUUAGCUAAGUGAACAGAAGGAUGAACUACAGGCAGAAUAGGUUUCUUUUUGUGUUUAGCUAAAAAUCUCUGCGUGUCUCAGUAUGUACUGAGACCAUCUGUAAACUGAUGCUCAUAUCCAGAGAAUAAAAAUUCAGCACAUUCUUACUCUGACCCACGUUCUUCAGAAACAUGCUCCAGGCAAGCAGUGUUUGGGAUAUGCCCCAUUUAACACACGGAUCUGUCACUGAGCUCUGAUUUGUUUUCUGUUUCCCCCCCACCUUCAACCCAAAUGAAAAAACCCAAAUGAAAAAAACCCAAACAUAAGCAACCAUUCAUGAGGACUAAUAGUCUUAACCAAACUAGACUGGUUUGAAAACAACAAACAGAGGUACAGGCAAGUCUUGAAGGUAAUUUUUUUUUAAUGCAUCCGGAACUCCCACUGAUUUCAAUGGGAGUUUUGAAACAUCCCAGGAAUAAAAGGCUGAGCUUAUUAUCUGUGUUUCUCAUUAUAGUCUCUAAGCAGCAUUUUGUCCACAGGAUAAGUAUAUAUGAAAAACAUGAUUGCACUGUCUGCAUAUUCACAGGAAAUGGGUGUAAAAUAUAGCCCAACAAUCAUGGUUGUUACGUUUAAGCCUUAGGCAAUGCUGAGACUAUCAGGUUUCCAUUCAGCUGCAAUGUAUUCCCUGGUAAGGCCUUACC